rnacentral:rRNA from 1 species
GGGAAGUUAACUGGAAGUCCACCGGAGAUGCCCGCUGAUGCUAUUUCAGUCUGUCAUGAGGCAUUACGAGUGGCAGACGGGAGAGUAACGCGUGGGUAACCUGCCUUACACAGGGGGAUAACACCUGGAAACAUGUGCUAAUACCGCAUAAUCGCACAGGGCCACAUGGCCCGAUGUGAAAAACUCCUGUGUUGUAAGAUGGACCCGCGUCUGAUUAGCUUGUUGGCGGGGUAGGGGCCCACCAAGGCGACGAUCAGUAGCCGGCCUGAGAGGGUGGACGGCCACAUUGGGACUGAGACACGGCCCAAACUCCUACGGGAGGCAGCAGUGGGGAAUAUUGGACAAUGGGGGAAACCCUGAUCCAGCGACGCCGCGUGAGUGAAGAAGUAUUUCGGUAUGUAAAGCUCUGUCAGCAGGGAAGAAACAAAUGACGGUACCUGACCAAUAAGCCCCGGCUAACUACGUGCCAGCAGCCGCGGUAAUACGUAGGGGGCAAGCGUUAUCCGGAAUUACUGGGUGUAAAGGGAGCGUAGACGGUGAUGCAAGUCUGGAGUGAAAGGCGGGGGCCCAACCCGCGGACUGCUCUGGAAACUGUGUAUCUUGAGUGCAGGAGAGGUAAACGGAAUUCCUAGUGUAGCGGUGAAAUGCGUAGAUAUUAGGAGGAACACCAGUGGCGAAGGCGGCUUACUGGACUGUAACUGACGUUGAGGCUCGAAAGCGUGGGGAGCAAACAGGAUUAAAUACCCUGGUAGUCCACGCCGUAAACGAUGAUUACUAGGUGUCGGUGGGUAGACACCCUCCGGUGCCAGAACUAAGCCCAAUAGAUCUCAUCCGGAGGAGAACGUUUCCAGGAAGGAACCUCAAAGAAUUAACAGGGGACCCGCAACAACGUUGGAAAAU